UACGAAGGGGGCUAGCGUUGCUCGGAAUUACUGGGCGUAAAGCGCACGUAGGCGGCUCUUUAAGUCGGGGGUGAAAUCCUGGAGCUCAACUCCAGAACUGCCUUCGAUACUGGAGAGCUCGAGUCCGGGAGAGGUGAGUGGAACUGCGAGUGUAGUGGUGAAAUUCGUAGAUAUUCGCAAGAACCCCAGUGGCGAAGGCGGCUCACUGGCCCGUUCCUGACGCUCAGGCGCGACAGCGUGGGGAUCAAACCGG
rnacentral:rRNA from 1 species